UACCAGCACCCCGAGUGGUCGGGACGAUUAUUGGGCCUAAAGCAUCCGUAGCCGGCCUGACAAGUCCUCCGUUAAAUCCAGCUGCUUAACAGAUGGGCUGCGGAGGAUACUAUAAGACUAGGAGGCAGGAGAGGCAAGCGGUACUCAGUGGGUAGGGGUAAAAUCCGUUGAUCCAUUGAAGACCACCAGUGGCGAAGGCGGCUUGCCAGAAUGCGCUCGACGGUGAGGGAUGAAAGCUGGGGGAGCAAACCGG
rnacentral:rRNA from 1 species